rnacentral:rRNA from 1 species
GGGGAAUAUUGGACAAUGGGCGCAAGCCUGAUCCAGCCAUACCGCGUGGGUGAAGAAGGCCUUCGGGUUGUAAAGCCCUUUUGUUGGGAAAGAAAUCCUAUCGGUUAAUAACCGGUGGGGAUGACGGUACCCAAAGAAUAAGCACCGGCUAACUUCGUGCCAGCAGCCGCGGUAAUACGAAGGGUGCAAGCGUUACUCGGAAUUACUGGGCGUAAAGCGUGCGUAGGUGGUGGUUUAAGUCUGCUGUGAAAGCCCUGGGCUCAACCUGGGAAUUGCAGUGGAUACUGGAUCGCUAGAGUGUGGUAGAGGGAGGCGGAAUUUCUGGUGUAGCAGUGAAAUGCGUAGAGAUCAGAAGGAACAUCCGUGGCGAAGGCGGCAUCCUGGGCCAACACUGACACUGAGGCACGAAAGCGUGGGGAGCAAAC